rnacentral:rRNA from 1 species
CAGGAUGAACGCUAGCUACAGGCUUAACACAUGCAAGUCGAGGGGCAGCAUGGUCUUAGCUUGCUAAGGCCGAUGGCGACCGGCGCACGGGUGAGUAACACGUAUCCAACCUGCCGUCUACUCUUGGACAGCCUUCUGAAAGGAAGAUUAAUACAAGAUGGCAUCAUGAGUCCGCAUGUUCACAUGAUUAAAGGUAUUCCGGUAGACGAUGGGGAUGCGUUCCAUUAGAUAGUAGGCGGGGUAACGGCCCACCUAGUCUUCGAUGGAUAGGGGUUCUGAGAGGAAGGUCCCCCACAUUGGAACUGAGACACGGUCCAAACUCCUACGGGAGGCAGCAGUGAGGAAUAUUGGUCAAUGGGCGAGAGCCUGAACCAGCCAAGUAGCGUGAAGGAUGACUGCCCUAUGGGUUGUAAACUUCUUUUAUAAAGGAAUAAAGUCGGGUAUGGAUACCCGUUUGCAUGUACUUUAUGAAUAAGGAUCGGCUAACUCCGUGCCAGCAGCCGCGGUAAUACGGAGGAUCCGAGCGUUAUCCGGAUUUAUUGGGUUUAAAGGGAGCGUAGAUGGAUGUUUAAGUCAGUUGUGAAAGUUUGCGGCUCAACCGUAAAAUUGCAGUUGAUACUGGAUAUCUUGAGUGCGCGUAAGGCAGGCGGAAUUCGUGGUGUAGCGGUGAAAUGCUUAGAUAUCACGAAGAACUCCGAUUGCGAAGGCAGCUCGCUGAACUGUAACUGACGCUGAUGCUCGAAAGUGUGGGUAUCAAACAGGAUUAGAUACCCUGGUAGUCCACACAGUAAACGAUGAAUACUCGCUGUUUGCGAUAUACUGUAAGCGGCCAAGCGAAAGCGUUAAGUAUUCCACCUGGGGAGUACGCCGGCAACGGUGAAACUCAAAGGAAUUGACGGGGGCCCGCACAAGCGGAGGAACAUGUGGUUUAAUUCGAUGAUACGCGAGGAACCUUACCCGGGCUUAAAUUGCAGAUGAAUUACGGUGAAAGCCGUAAGCCGCAAGGCAUCUGUGAAGGUGCUGCAUGGUUGUCGUCAGCUCGUGCCGUGAGGUGUCGGCUUAAGUGCCAGAACGAGCGCAACCCUUGUUGUCAGUUACUAACAGGUUCCGCUGAGGACUCUGACAAGACUGCCAUCGUAAGAUGUGAGGAAGGUGGGGAUGACGUCAAAUCAGCACGGCCCUUACGUCCGGGGCUACACACGUGUUACAAUGGGGGGUACAGAGGGCCGCUACCACGCGAGUGGAUGCCAAUCCCCAAAACCUCUCUCAGUUCGGACUGGAGUCUGCAACCCGACUCCACGAAGCUGGAUUCGCUAGUAAUCGCGCAUCAGCCACGGCGCGGUGAAUACGUUCCCGGGCCUUGUACACACCGCCCGUCAAGCCAUGGGAGCCGGGGGUACCUGAAGUGCGUAACCGCGAGGAGCGCCCUAGGGUAAAACUGGUGA